rnacentral:rRNA from 1 species
AUACGUAGGGUCCAAGCGUUAUUCGGAUUUACUGGGCGUAAAGCGUGCGUAGGCGGCUAUAUAAGUUAGAUGUUAAAUCUGUGGGCUCAACUCACAGGCUGCAUCUAAUACUGUAUGGCUCGAGAGUGGAAGAGGCAAACGGAAUUCCUAGUGGAGCGGUUAAAUGCGUAGAUAUUAGGAGGAACACCAAUGGCGAAGGCAGUUUGCUGGGCCAUUUCUGACGCUAAGGCACGAAAGCGUGGGGAGCGAUCGGGAUUAGAAACCCUAGUAGUCC